CCUACGGGAGGCAGCAGUGGGGAAUAUUGCACAAUGGGGGAAACCCUGAUGCAGCAACGCCGCGUGAGUGAAGAAGUAUUUCGGUAUGUAAAGCUCUAUCAGCAGGGAAGAAGAAAGACGGUACUUGGCUAAGAAGCCCGGGCUAACUACGUGCCAGCAGCCGCGGUAAU
rnacentral:rRNA from 1 species